rnacentral:rRNA from 1 species
AUUGAACGCUGGCGGCAUGCCUAACACAUGCAAGUCGAACGAGUGGCGGACGGGUGAGUAAUGACUGGGCAACUGCCCGAGGGAGGGGGAUACCUACGGGUAACUGUAGCUAAUACCGCAUACCAUCGGAUGUGCCCAGAUGGGAUUAGCUAGUAGGUGGGGUAACGGCGCACCUAGGCGACGAUCCCUAGCUGGUCUGAGAGGAUGACCAGCCACACUGGAACUGAGACACGGUCCAGACUCCUACGGGAGGCAGCAGUGGGGAAUAUUGCACAAUGGGCGCAAGCCUGAUGCAGCCAUGCCGCGUGUAUGAAGAAGGCCUUCGGGUUGUAAAGUACUUUCAGCGGGGAGGCGUUACCCGCAGAAGAAGCACCGGCUAACUCCGUGCCAGCAGCCGCGGUAAUUC